CAGCAGCCGCGGGAAAACGGAGGGUGCAAGCGUUAAUCGGAAUUACUGGGCGUAAAGCGCACGCAGGCGGUCUGACAAGUCAGAUGUGAAAUCCCCGGGCUUAACCUGGGAACUGCAUUUGAAACUGUCAGGCUGGAGUCUUGUAGAGGGGGGUAGAAUUCCAGGUGUAGCGGUGAAAUGCGUAGAGAUCUGGAGGAAUACCGGUGGCGAAGGCGGCCCCCUGGACAAAGACUGACGCUCAGGUGCGAAAGCGUGGGGAGCAAACAGGAUUAGAUACCCCGGUAGUCCCUGUCUCUUAUAC
rnacentral:rRNA from 1 species